GCCAACGAGUGCUCGGUCUCGGGAUCCGCAAAUUCCAUUAGAUCCGAGACAGGUUUCGCGUCAACUACCUCGAGGGUGGUUCACGUGGACGAUAAGGAUGAUCAAAUUGUACAGGAAAUAGCUGCCCAUCACUGGGAAUGAUAACUCAUUGCUUGCGGUAACCCGUCGAUCCGGCGUUCAGACUGUUGCCUUAAUUUUCACCAACUUUCAACCGCUGGCUCGAGUUACUUAUAUCUGUACUAGUUAUGUCGCUUGCAUACGUCAUUGUGCGAGGAGGAGCGCAUCAGAGGCGAGACUUCGUUUAUCCUGUUCAUCAGCGUUGUCUGCGAGGCUGGUCAUAAGUGAACUCUUGGAAUAGAGAAUCUAUAGAUCUAGGCGUCGAAGGAUGCUUUCUACCCUGCCAUAGAGAAACUCGGUAGAGUUUCGAGCCAAGUACAUCGAGAUGCAUGGUACUACUCCAGAGUUUCAGGUCACCUUUUACCAACUACCGAAAGACCGCAGGUGAUAGUCCAUUCAGAGCUGUACUAUUUUCUAAAUGAUCAUACGGCAUUUCUUUUACGGUGCCUUGAGCUAUUCUUUCAUUACUUUAAUAUCACGCAGGAUAAACGGAGGAUGGACGUUAAGCCUGGCGACGGUUCCCCACAAAGGCAGAAGGCGCAGCAGGAAUAAAAGUCAUAUACGCAUUCUGCCAGAGCCGGCGCCAUUUAAUCACCUCGGACGAUCGUCGAUUAUUCCAAAGCAGGCAAUUACGCCAUUUUUACGGCGAUACGCAAUCAAGUUCGACUAGCGACGCGCAACCUUAACCUCGUAACGGAAAACACGGCCCGUAAUGCCCGCGUCCGUGAUUGCCCUCACACUUGCGCAACGCUCGUAAACGGCCGCCAUUUUGCACGUGGUAAUGUUUACAAUGUUCAUUCUCCUCAUCGGGCGGCCUCGUUUAAGGGAAUUCCAACGGCACUUUCGGAAUGUCGAGCCUUCGGUAAUCAUUUUUCCCAGGCCGAACCGUGGGGGAGGCGCCGCGUGAUCGAUACGCCCGCUCUUUUAUGACAAUCGUAAAAGUGCGCGGUCUCGCACGUGGCACUGUUUACAAUAUUAAUCCUGUUUUAAAAGCCCAUGAAAAUGGGAUCCCACCCCCUAGGCUAUUUUCCGCAAGCUCCUUCAGCGGAUUCUCGGACCCCGCCGAAUUGCCUCGCUGCUCGUCCGGCUGCAACGCCAGGGGAAUUUAAUGCGUGGCUGAAGGCGAUCGUUGUGCAAUCUGGACUAAAUCGGUGCGUCGUCGCAUCGUGCAUUUAAUGCGUGGCUGGCGGACAGACACGAUAAAAGUUCAUCGCGAACGAGGGAAAAUGUAUGGUGGACGUUGGUGACACCUCUCGAGGGCGUAUACCGAAUAUGUCGAGGCGGACGCGCAGAUUGUCUCUAGUAGGACCAUUAUCGUGUCACCGUGGUAAUGGCUGAUCGAUUGGCCAGGAUGUUGCGCACCGUGUCGAGGCGGUGCAAUGGCGACACUGGCCGUGUUCAUCGGUGAAAUCUAAUUGCCCGGGAUGUAAAGAUCGCCCCCUCGUCGAGGCACUUUCUGCGGCGUAGGCGCACGUGGAAAGUUUUCUCUCCCGGCCCAACGCAACGAUCCGCGUGUCGCUAAUGGACGGUCCAUGUGAUACAAUUAAGGUCGACCUUGUCAAGUUCUUCGCGCUUAGAAUCAAGCGUUGUCAUGUUAAAAUCGUCACACGACGAUUUUAACAUGACCCUCGCCUCUGUCUCUCUCUUAAUUCGAGGGCGAGACUGCUCCGCGUUUCGGAACGUCGAUCCCACGCUCCUUCGUCUUUAUGCAACUCGUUUCCCGGAAAAAAAAAAAUAAGAAAAAAAAAACAGAAAAUGGAGACGCGCGCUCCUUUUUCCGCACGUGCAUAGAGCAAUUCAUGAACCGUCCCCGUUACCAAGUGCGCAGCAGUCUCGACGAGUAAGAAAUUCGCGAUAGCGCGGACUGUUUUUCCCCCAGGCGAGACGAGAAAAUCAUAUUAUUGGCGCCGACCUCUGCUCUUCGGUCCGGCCUUCUAGGUUUCAACGUGUCGCGUGUUCGACGUCCGUCAUCCAACCUCAAGACAUUCAAGCCUGACGGGACUCCGGAUUUGCGGCCCAGCUGCAAAGGAAAUGACAAAACCUUCCGAAAACGUUUACAGGAGACACGGAAGAGGAGGAAAAUCCCCAUAGCGGCGUAUUACAAGGCUAACGGAAACUGCGGAGCUCUCUUGAAAAGCGGGAAAAACCUUUGUGCAGUUGCAGGAGGCGCCAUCACGUCGCGGCGCAAUGUUCCUGCAACUGCGCUGUUCCUGGCUCGGCCAACUAUUCAGAUUCGAGAUCGAUACCACGGAGAGGGAUAUUACCAGGGCGAGAAGGCUCCGCAGAUUCGGCAUUACAAUUUUAUAAAAAUCACCCCAAUCAACUCAUGUUCAGUUUCGUCUGAUCUGAGGUCGUAUCAAUCAAGGAAGAUCCGAAUGGACUUCGACAUCGGUCGAAAAUCGGCUGAUCAAAGGCGAACCGAGGCAGGUAAAAGUUUGGAAUUUAAAGACAAUUUGUAUCUGUAGAUUCGGGAUAUCUCGAGUUGCUGGUAAACCUCUCCUAAAAUAAGCCUAGGGUCUUGCCAGGGCAUCAUCUCGGGUUACGAUACCAACUAGUGCGCCGGUAUACCGGUGUUAUUAUUUCAUAGCGGAAAUGACCAAUCAGGCGUGUAUGUGAUAAAUCUGUCCGACAGUUUUGGCAAUGAGCUCGUCGGACAUGUAUUCGACACUUCGUCGCGGCCUUUUGCGUAUGACAGACUUCGAGUACUGUUAACACCGUCUCGUUGAUGAUGCCCUGACUCGACAGCAUUCCCCUAGAGGGAAUUAUUUACCCUCGAGCCGGCGAAACUGUGAUCGGCGAGAACGUCUUGCGAUGGCGUAGUACGGCAUCUACAAAUGGAUUUAGCUGAAAAGAAGGCCACGGCGUAGUAGGCCACCGCGGUAUUGAUUUCGGUCGGCUUCUGCAUCAGAGACUAUACGGUGUCACCGUAUACGGAGAGUAGAAGGGAAGGCCAUUGCGAAGUCGACACGAAGAAAACACUUUCGAGCGGAUGUCAUUGCGUCAGGGUCCCGAAGGGUCGAAGAACCCGAGAGAAAAAUCGAGCCGCUCCUUGAGACGUGGAAAAAAAGUCGAAAAUUUCAUAUCCUGCCGACCUAGAGAGGGACUUUCUCGAUAUAAAUGCCACCGGGACAUUUGAUACCCAGGGAUCCGUUUCCAGCGCUUUGCGGUCCGACCGGAGACUCGUUUGCAGAGAAUCCCGUCCUAGGUACCCUGAUUUGUCGGCGAGUUAAAUGUUUAAUUAGCGCCAGAGAGAUGGUUGCGUAACUCCUCGGGACGUCCAUCGGGAGGUAUUUACGAUCUUCCCCCAGGACGGCCGCUGACUGCGGCAUGACUCAAACUCGAGUUGUGGUGGAGUUUACGUUUACGCCGACCACGCGUCCAUGUAGACGGGGCUCGAAACGGGUUCGUAAAAUCGAUCAAGUUCGGAGGAAAUUGGCAGUGCUCGCGUCUGCGACCUUUUUGCGAAACCCCGGCAAGAAAGGCGCCAUUCCAACUGGUCGCUCGUAAAUAAAUCAGCCCGUAGUUGCUCUUUAACCCUUUAGCUGCGAAAGGCUCGGAAAGAGCCCCGAAGAAGUGGACGUCGAGCACAUUUAUUUGGCUCGUUACGGUGCAUUUAAGCCCCUACUUAUAUACUGGUAUAUCGAUGAUGUAGUCGAUGCACUUGACGCAGUUGAUGCGCAUUGGGGGUUCGCGACAUUUGCUCUACAAGUAGUUGCCCUCAUGUAAAGUGGGGAGUAAUCCCCCUCGGUAACCGGUCCCAGUCGUGUCGUUAUGUCCCUGGGUUAAGAAGAUCUGGAGGCAAUCUUUAGGGUUGGGACUGGUGAACUGGCUCGAUCCAGCUCUUAGAACGGCUGCAAAACUCGGCUAAGCUCCCAUUCGCCAGAUACGAGCGAUCUUGAAGUCUGGUCUCCUGGUCAUGCACGUCCUUGUCGAGAAUUCCUGGCCUUGUCGGACUGAAUCACCCCGAGUCGAGAUUCGCGUUUAAUCGUUUGUUAAGCGAGUCGUAAGUCGACUAUUCCGCUAUACGGAUAACAGACUAGGAAACGGUGAGCGAUGAUAAAUCUAGGAUAGUAACGGACCGACGCUGAGAAUUUCCUCCUCGGAUAAAAUCAUUGCGGCAAUUAACAUUUUUGUACAUUCUACAUUAAUCGCCUGUAUCUCUGAAAACGUGGGUAAUUAACGGACCCAAAUUAUAAGUACAAGUUUGAGCGGUA
rnacentral:lncRNA from 1 species